rnacentral:rRNA from 3 species
UAAACGACUCUCGGCAACGGAUAUCUCGGCUCUCGCAUCGAUGAAGAACGCAGCGAAAUGCGAUACUUGGUGUGAAUUGCAGAAUCCCGUGAACCAUCGAGUCUUUGAACGCAAGUUGCGCCCAAAGCCCUCGGGCUAAGGGCACGUCUGCCUGGGUGUCACGC